GUAGGUGGCAAGCGUUGUCGGAAUUAUUGGGGCGUAAAGCGCGCGCAGGCGGUUCUUUAAGUCUGAUGUGAAAGCCCACGGGCUCAACCGUGGAGGGUCAUUGGAAACUGGAGAACUUGAGUACAGAAGAGGAAAGCGGAGUUCCACGUGUAGCGGUGAAAUGCGUAGAGAUGUGGAGGAACACCAGUGGCGAAGGCGGCUUUCUGGUCUGUAACUGACGCUGAGGCGCGAAAGCGUGGGGAGCAAACAGGAUUAGAUACCCUGGUAGUCCACGCCGUAAACGAUGAGUGCUAAGUGUUAGGGGGUUUCCGCCCCUUAGUGCUGCAGCUAACGCAUUAAGCACUCCGCCUGGGGAGUACGGCCGCAAAGGCUG
rnacentral:rRNA from 1 species